rnacentral:rRNA from 1 species
UGGGGAAUAUUGGAUAAUGGGCGCAAGCCUGAUCCAGCCAUGCCGCGUGAGUGAUGAAGGCCCUAGGGUUGUAAAGCUCUUUCACCGGUGAAGAUAAUGACGGUAACCGGAGAAGAAGCCCCGGCUAACUUCGUGCCAGCAGCCGCGGUAAUACGAAGGGGGCUAGCGUUGUUCGGAUUUACUGGGCGUAAAGCGCACGUAGGCGGACUUUUAAGUCAGGGGUGAAAUCCCGGGGCUCAACCCCGGAACUGCCUUUGAUACUGGAAGUCUUGAGUAUGGUAGAGGUGAGUGGAAUUCCGAGUGUAGAGGUGAAAUUCGUAGAUAUUCGGAGGAACACCAGUGGCGAAGGCGGCUCACUGGACCAUUACUAACGCUGAGGUGCGAAAGCGUGGGGAGCAAACAGG